ACCUUCGUACUAUUAAUACUGGACGUAAAUACAUCGAAAUCGCGCGUCCCCUCCCCCCACGCGCAAAUCUAUCGACGUAACUUUCCGCCUAUCGAUUCCUAAGAUGCACCGGUUAGACAAAAACGCACAGCUCCUUAAAACGACCCCACUUAGACAACAUUUUAUGAGGUCAUCGAGGAUAGAUAAAAAUGCGUUAUUAUUCCACCCAGCUCUAUUAAGUUUUGACAAAAUAACGCGCAAGACAAAAUGCAAAUUUUGCGCACGCUGGCUCGCGCUCUCUUCAGUGGGGACCCACGUCGUUCUCGGUGAAUUGAAGUAAAAGGCUUCCUGACACCAGAUGUUUUCAACUGGAAGCUUUGUUUCCGAGCAUACCUGCAAUGUUUGAACAGUGGGGAUUAGAACUACUAUGAAUCUUUUUGGCUCUGUGACAGAUCGCUUCACGACGUUUCAGCUGGCACCGCUGGAGGCCUGUAAGAGACUGUCACGACAAUGGAUGGGAUUUCUAGCAUUUUUUUGCGGACUGCAAGACUGCAGGAAUUGACGGCGUACCACUCAAACUCAGCACAUCCAUUAGUAUUAGGUCGUCUCUCCCUAUUUCCGAAGGUCUUUGUCAUUUUAAUGAUAUAU